UUUUACUUUGCCUAGCUUCACUGUUCUUGGUCGUUCUCCCUAUCUAGAUGGGUCAAAAUUCCGUUGUUGCUCGUUCUACUGGUACUACCUUGGUUCGUUCUCCUUCAAACAAUAUUCCAUGGACACCAAUUUCGUUAAGGAACUUAUCUUCAAGUUCAUCAUGGUCACUCUGUCGGUUUUAAAAGCAAGGUCAAGUGAGCUUGGACAGCUAUUCAACAACAACAAUCAUCAAACCAAUGACAGUAAUUAAGAGAGUUGUACUCACUCACUCACAUUAACUUAUAUUCUCGAGUGAAGUCUGGAACGAUGAGCAAUGGGUUUAUACACAAGAAGGUUUAUUGUGUGUCCCGAUUACACAAGAAGGUUUAUGGCGUGUCCCGAUUACGAUGUUGAUACAAAGAGGAGGGGAUGCAUAUACUUUAUAUGGUACGAGGAGGAAAUGACAUUUUGGCAAAGGGACAUAAUUUGGGGUUGCUGGAUCAGAAGAACGAGCUGAGCAAGGAGAAUGAUGAGAAUGGGGUAGAUUUAGGGGUUUGCUUUAUGUAUCAGUUUAGUUGUAAAAGUCAUUGGAUUUUCUGUUUUAUUGGUAAGAGCAUUUAAGGCUCAUACUCGGGUACUAGUAUUAGGGUAAUAGGGUGUAUUGCAUUGUAGUCGGAAUCGGGUAGGGUGAUAAAUAUAGAUGUAACAAGCUACUUUAUGGCAAGUAAUGAGAAAUGAGAAAUAAUUUUCCUACA